rnacentral:tRNA from 1 species
GCCUAGUUAGCUUAGUUGGUAGUGCGUCUCGUAAGCGCUAGGCCGCGGGUUCGAUUCCCGCCCGGGGCG